rnacentral:rRNA from 1 species
AUUGAACGCUGGCGGCAUGCCUUACACAUGCAAGUCGAACGGCAGCACGGGAGCAAUCCUGGUGGCGAGUGGCGAACGGGUGAGUGAAGUAUCGGAACGUGCCCAGUCGUGGGGGAUAACGUAGCGAAAGUUACGCUAAUACCGCAUACGAUCUAUGGAUGAAAGCGGGGGAUCGCAAGACCUCGCGCGAUUGGAGCGGCCGAUAUCAGAUUAGGUAGUUGGUGGGGUAAAGGCUCACCAAGCCGACGAUCUGUAGCUGGUCUGAGAGGACGACCAGCCACGCUGGGACGGAGACACGGCCCAGAGUCCUACGGGAGGCAGCAGUGGGGAAUUUUGGACAAUGGGCGAAAGCCUGAUCCAGCAAUGCCGCGUGCAGGAUGAAGGCCUUCGGGUUGUAAACUGCUUUUGUACGGAACGAAAAAGCUCCUUCUAAUACAGGGGGCCCAUGACGGUACCGUAAGAAUAAGCACCGGCUAACUACGUGCCAGCAGCCGCCGUAA